CAAGGUGUGAAAAAGGGUGUAGGUCACAAUCAGCCAAGGUUUCGGCCUCUGAUUAAGAGGAUUGACAGUCUUGUCCAACAGAAGUGGAGACUGGGCUGAGGCCUGUUCUAACACCAUCUGUCACUUUGGAGCCUUUUUCCUCUUCUUUCCACGUGCACCACUUUGUGCUCCCUCUCACUCAAAAUAACGAGAGCAUCUGCACAUCCACUGCUGUGUUUAAUAAAUUUAAUGAAUCAAGAAAACAAACCAGUAUUAAAUGAUGAUAAAACUUUUAUUUUGUUAAAACCUUCAAUUUUUUGUUUAGUAUUUUCAUUAUUUUCGAAAUAACAUAGCAUUACGUACAGAAGGCACUUACAAAAACAAGUUAAAUUACAGAUGCUGUUAUUAUAAACAUUAAAUUACUGAUUAAACAAAAGAAUGAUAAAGAAAUGAAAUGACAGCACCAUUGGCAACUUCUGAACAGUACAUCUCAAAUAAAAAUUUAGCAUGAUUCAAAUCUACAGUACAAUAGAAACAAAAGUCAUUUGUUACAAGUGUAAUAAUGCC